rnacentral:rRNA from 1 species
AUUGAACGCUGGCGGCAGGCCUAACACAUGCAAGUCGAGCGGUAACAGGAGAAAGCUUGCUUUCUUGCUGACGAGCGGCGGACGGGUGAGUAAUGUAUGGGGAUCUGCCCGAUAGAGGGGGAUAACUACUGGAAACGGUGGCUAAUACCGCAUAAUGUCUACGGACCAAAGCAGGGGCUCUUUGGACCUUGCACUAUCGGAUGAACCCAUAUGGGAUUAGCUAGUAGGUGGGGUAAAGGCUCACCUAGGCGACGAUCUCUAGCUGGUCUGAGAGGAUGAUCAGCCACACUGGGACUGAGACACGGCCCAGACUCCUACGGGAGGCAGCAGUGGGGAAUAUUGCACAAUGGGCGCAAGCCUGAUGCA